AUACGUAGGGGGCGAGCGUUGUUCGGAAUCAUUGGGCGUAAAGGGCGUGCAGGCGGUCCUGCAAGUCCGGCGUGAAAGACCCCGGCCCAACCGGGGGGACGCGCUGGAAACUGCGGGGCUUGAGUACAGGAGGGGAUGCCGGAAUUCCAGGUGUAGGGGUGAAAUCUGGAGAUAUCUGGAAGAACACCAAUGGCGAAGGCAGGAAGCUGGCCAUGUACUGACGCGGAGACGCGAAGGUGCGGGGAGCAAACAGGUUUAGAUGCCCUGGUAGUCCGCACAGUAAACGAGGUGCACCAGGUGGCGGGGGGUCGACCCUCGGUACCGUAGCUAACGCAUUAAGUGCACCGCCUGGGGAGUAUGCUCGCAAGGGUGAAACUCUAAUGAAUUGGCGGGG
rnacentral:rRNA from 1 species